UACGUAGGGGGCAAGCGUUGUCCGGAAUUAUUGGGCGUAAAGAGCGUGUAGGCGGCCAGAUAAGUCCGCUGUGAAAUCUCGAGGCUCAACUUCGAGCUGUCGGUGGAAACUAUCUGGCUAGAGUCCGGAAGAGGAGAAUGGAAUUCCUGGUGUAGCGGUGAAAUGCGCGGAUAUCAGGAAGAACACCCGUGGCGAAGGCGGUUCUCUGGGACGGUACUGACGCUGAGACGCGAAAGCGUGGGGAGCAAACAGG
rnacentral:rRNA from 1 species